rnacentral:rRNA from 1 species
UACGGAGGGUGCAAGCGUUAUCCGGAUUCACUGGGUUUAAAGGGUGCGUAGGCGGGCAUUUAAGUCAGUGGUGAAAUACCUGAGCUCAACUCCGGAACUGCCAUUGAAACUGUAAACUUGAGGAUGAGAGAGGUGAGUGGAAUUCCCAGUGUAGAGGUGAAAUUCGUAGAUAUUGGGAAGAACACCGGUGGCGAAGGCGGCUCACUGGCUCAUUUCUGACGCUCAGGCGCGACAGCGUGGGGAUCGAAACAGG